rnacentral:rRNA from 1 species
AUGCAGUCGAGCGGAGAUGAGGUGCUUGCACCUUAUCUUAGCGGCGGACGGGUGAGUAAUGCUUAGGAAUCUGCCUAUUAGUGGGGGACAACAUUCCGAAAGGAAUGCUAAUACCGCAUACGCCCUACGGGGGAAAGCAGGGGAUCUUCGGACCUUGCGCUAAUAGAUGAGCCUAAGUCGGAUUAGCUAGUUGGUGGGGUAAAGGCCUACCAAGGCGACGAUCUGUAGCGGGUCUGAGAGGAUGAUCCGCCACACUGGGACUGAGACACGGCCCAGACUCCUACGGGAGGCAGCAGUGGGGAAUAUUGGACAAUGGGCGGAAGCCUGAUCCAGCCAUGCCGCGUGUGUGAAGAAGGCCUUUUGGUUGUAAAGCACUUUAAGCGAGGAGGAGGCUACUUAGAUUAAUACUCUAGGAUAGUGGACGUUACUCGCAGAAUAAGCACCGGCUAACUCUGUGCCAGCAGCCGCGGUAAUACAGAGGGUGCGAGCGUUAAUCGGAUUUACUGGGCGUAAAGCGUGCGUAGGCGGCUGAUUAAGUCGGAUGUGAAAUCCCUGAGCUUAACUUAGGAAUUGCAUUCGAUACUGGUCAGCUAGAGUAUGGGAGAGGAUGGUAGAAUUCCAGGUGUAGCGGUGAAAUGCGUAGAGAUCUGGAGGAAUACCGAUGGCGAAGGCAGCCAUCUGGGCCUAAUACUGACGCUGAGGUA